rnacentral:rRNA from 1 species
CCUACGGGAGGCAGCAGUGGGGGAUAUUGCACAAUGGGGGAGACCCUGAUGCAGCGACGCCGCGUGUGGGAAGACGGUCCUCUGGAUUGUAAACCACUGUCCCCAGGGACGAAGAUGACGGUAGCUGGGGAGGAAGCUCCGGCUAACUACGUGCCAGCAGCCGCGGUAAGACGUAGGGGGCAAGCGUUGUCCGGAAUUACUGGGUGUAAAGGGAGCGUAGGCGGGAUGUCAAGUUGGGUGUUAAAUCUACCGGCUCAACUGGUAGUCGCACUCAAAACUGCUAUUCUUGAGUGAAGUAGAGGCAGGCGGAAUUCCUAGUGUAGCGGUGAAAUGCGUAGAUAUUAGGAGGAACUCCAGUGGCGAAGGCGGCCUGCUGGGCUUUUACUGACGCUGAGGCUCGAAAGUGUGGGGAGCAAACAGGAUUAGAUACCCGAGUAGUC